rnacentral:misc_RNA from 1 species
GUGACCAACCUCCGCCGAUCCGUCCCGAGCGAGUGACAAAGCCCCAUACGCUCGAGGACCAGACGGACGUCGCCGCUGCCUUUCGGGCAGGUCCCCGGGGGGACCACACCCAACACACAAGCCGGGCUUGAGGGCAGAAAUGACGCUCGGACAGGCAUGCCCCCCGGAAUGCCAGGGGGCGCAAUGUGCGUUCAAAGAUUCGAUGAUUCACGGAAUUCUGCAAUUCACAUUACUUAUCGCAUUUCGCUGCGUUCUUCAUCGAUGCCGGAACCAAGAGAUCCAUUGUUGAAAGUUUUGACAAUUUUCAUUCGACUCAGACAGCCCAUCUUCAUCAGGGUUCACAGAGCGCUUCGGCGGGCGCGGGCCCGGAGACGGACGUCCCCCGGCGACCGGGUGGCCCCGGUGGGCCCGCCAAAGCAACAGGUAGAGAGAGACACGGGUGGGAGGUUG